AUGUCUGGGCAGCUCGAUUGGCUCGGCAGCGAGGCGUGGUGGUGGUCCCUGCGUGGCGAUGGCGCGGUUGCUGUGGAGGGGGUGUGCGAGUCAGUGGAGGUGCUGGUUGGCGUCGGUCGACCGCGUGGGAGUGGUGGUGUUGCUGAUCCGGGCGAAAGCUUGACCGGUGCUAGCUGGCCGGCGGCGGCGGCGCUCGUGGGCGUCGCUUUCUUCCUUGGAGGCGCCGUCGUGGUGAUUUGUGCAUCCUCAUCUCUCGGGUCAAGAUCUCCGGGCGAAAGUCAGGAUCCUGGUUGGAUCAGGCGGCGGCGUCGUCUCAACGUCGUUUUCCCUCUUGGGGGCGCCGUCUUGGAGAUCUUGGUCCCUUUUGUGCUUCCUGCAGGCUGGACGUGCACGACAUCGCGGUCGGCAGGUGCCCGGCCGGCGGUGAGGUUGGUGUGGCGUUGCAACGCAUGUGGCAACGAUGAUGAUGGCGAGCAGAGCCUGAGUCGCGGCUUGUCCUUUUGA
rnacentral:rRNA from 1 species